AUUUACAAUUUACAACAAAAGCAAUAAAAAUGUGCAUAUAUUCGUUGCUUAAGAGUUAAAACAAUUAUUUGUCAUUAUUCGUGGUAAUUCGUAAAAAAUGAAUUGCAAUAAUAACAUGAACUUUACCAGUUUCAGGUCAAAUCAUUAAGGUGGGUUCUAAUCAUGUGGAUUUAGUGUAUUUGUACGGUGAUAGCUUAA